GACUUAGGUUUUGGCUUGAAUACUGGUCUGCAAAACCAGAGAUUCUGGGUUCGAUUCCCAGGAAAGUCG